CAAUUUUGCCAAAAUGAAAGUUUGUGGAAUGGGCCACUUUAUGAUGUAAUAGUGUGGCUAAACUCUGCCUCCGCAGAGGCAGCGCCUGGUUCUACAUCACUGCCUGUUUAGCUCCGCCCAUCGAUUUUUGCACAUAGUGAGUAAAUGAUGAGAGCGGCAAAUAUUCAUUUACAAACAAGGCGCAUUUCGAUGCAGGAUUUUCAAAAAGAUUGAAACUAAGAGAGAUGCUGUGCUUAAUAUAUUGGAUCCGACUGUAAUGUCACACCACACAAGUAAAGGCCAUCGCUGCAGUAUCCAUCCAUCACUCCACACAUCUGUAGGUUGAGAUUUUUGGGUUGAUUUAUUUUAGAAAACAAGUCUCCCUCCAUCCUCCUGUUGUCUCACUUACUAAUGGCCGUAAAUACAUUACUUUAUCCUCGAAUAACAACUGUGCAACUCUUCUACAAAAGUCAGAUGGUACUUUGGUAUCAAUUAUGACACUCUGAAUAAUGACAUUGCAUUCUGUAGAGCUGCUUAUAUCUGAAUUGAUCUUGUUUUAUAAUUGAUGAUUUUAGCAACACUAUCGUACUAAACUGAAACAACAGUUAAUUAAGUAAAUUAAGUGUAAUAAUGACAUUAUUGGAGGUGCUUUACAGCUGAAAUUGAAUUUGUUUCAUAUUAAUACAUUUUAAAAUAGUAACACUUUUCAAAAAAAAAUUCUUGUUAUUUAUUUUUAGAAUCAGGGUUUUAAAUUUAAAAAAAUAUUUUAUUUCUUUUGGUAAAAAGGUUGCAAAAAUUACAA
ensembl:lncRNA